rnacentral:rRNA from 1 species
GAUUAACGCUGGCGGCGUGCAUAACACAUGCAAGUCGAACGAUGAAACUUAAAUGAUCUCUUCGGAGUGAAUUUAAGUGGAUUAGUGGCGGACGGGUGAGUAACGCGUGAGUAACCUGCCUUAGAGAAGGGGAUAGCCUUUGGAAACGAAGAAUAAUACCCUAUGAAACCAUAACCUCGCAUGAGGCCUUGGUCAAAGAUUUAUCGCUCUAAGAUGGACUUGCGUCUGAUUAGUUAGUUGGUGGGGUAACGGCCCACCAAGACAGCGAUCAGUAGCCGGCUUGAGAGAGUGUACGGCCACAUUGGGACUGAGACACGGCCCAGACUCCUACGGGAGGCAGCAGUGGGGAAUUUUGCACAAUGGGGGAAACCCUGAUGCAGCGACGCCGCGUGAUUUAGAAGGCCUUCGGGUUGUAAAAAUCUUUUCUAUGGGAAGAAAAUGACAGUGGGGGAGGAAUAAGGACCGGCUAAUUACGUGCCAGCAGCCGCGGUAAUACGUAAGGUCCGAGCGUUGUCCGGAAUCAUUGGGCGUAAAGGGUACGUAGGCGGGUAAGCAAGUUAGAAGUGAAAUCCUAUAGCUCAACUAUAGUAAGCUUUUAAAACUGCUCAUCUUGAGGUAUGGAAGGGAAAGUGGAAUUCCUAGUGUAGCGGUGAAAUGCGCAGAUAUUAGGAGGAAUACCGGUGGCGAAGGCGACUUUCUGGCCAUAACCUGACGCUGAGGUACGAAAGCGUGGGUAGCAAACAGG